CGCGGCUGGGGCCCGAGGGAAAUGGGGCACUGGGGAUGAGGGGUGCGCGGGGACAACGGUCACUGCGGCUUCCCACGGGGCCGCGGCUGGGUGCGCGGCGGGCGGGGCGUGGGGCUGUGUCACAGCACCGGCUGCACGCGGAAUGAGUGCGGUGCUUCGCGCUAUGGGCCACUAGCAGGCCGGGGCGGGGGGGGCGGGCGGUGCACUGUGCCCCUCGCUACUCGGGAGAUGGGUGUUUCUCCUCUCGCUCCUGCUUUCCCCGCCGCUUCUAAUGUACGUGCUCGAGCCAGCUGGCGGGUUAGUAAACAACAGCCUCUGACAAUACACCUGGAGACGCGGCUCCGCUUCCUUCUCUGGGGUUGACAUAUGUGAGGCCUGGCGUUUGAUACUGCCGGCGGCGGGGAGAGGCUGUACAGGAAGAUAGAAUAUCUUUAAGUAAAAAUCUACAAAGGAUUUAAAAGCCUCAGAACAAUCCUUUGAUCUCUGACAAAGGUCUAAGCGUUUGGGGUUUUUUAAUAGGGUUUAUGGCUUGCUUAUUUAUCUUAGACAUGGUAAAAACACACCUCCUGGUCCUCUCCUUCUGAGCUCAAACCUCCAAUUGAAGGGGUGGAUGCAUUUCUGGACCUCAUAUAGGAGAUGGACCUAGCCUUGUCUCUGAGCAGCAUAUGUUGGGCCCUUGGCCCUGGAAGGCCUUGGACUUGUUGGAGCGUUCAGGAGAUGCCAGAAUUUGGCAAGCCUACCAUGCAGGCCUGAUGCACUUUUUUCUCUUCAGAGAAGAGAUGGGAAUGCCUGCAGUUUGGCCAGUUCCAGAGGAUCAAAUUAGAGGGUUUAUGGUGGCUAUGGAAUCACAAGGCUUGUCCUCACCGAAAAUACUGAUGUACUUGGCAGCACUGUCCUAUAUCUCCAAAAUCACAGGUCACCCUGAUCCUCUUCAAGAUUUUGUAACAUGUCAUAUGGUGGCAGGGUUGCAGUGGAGGGAAGGUAAUCAAAGAUAUUGCAGAUCUCAUGUAACCAUUGAGGUGUUGCGAUCUCUCUUGGGCACAGUACAAUCUGUGUGUAGCUCUCUUUAUGAAUGUUUGUUGUUCCGUGCCUUGUUUACUGUGGCUUUUUUUGGGGCUCUUCGGGUGGAAGAAGUGGUAGCAGAACACCACAACUGGGCACAGCCAGAGCUCCUGUACAUGAGUGAUAUCCAGCUGACUGAGGAAAGAGUGAACAUUUACCUGCAUACAUCCUACCUGGGCCAAGAAAGGCUUUUGAUCUCUCUUGGAUUAUCUAGCGAGACAUGGGUAUGCCCUGUUGAGGCACUGUGCAAUUACGUGGCAGCCAGGCCACGAGGGGACGGGCCUCUUUUUGUACACUGGGAUGGUACACCAUUGACAAGGAGACAGUUCUUGGCUGUCUUCCGUUCUGCUUUAAGGUUACUUGGCCUUCGUCCAGAGCAAUAUGGUGUACAUUCUUUCUGGUUGGGAGCUGUUGUGACUGCUAUAUGCUAUAGAUGUUCUGAAGAAACUAUUUUGCGCCUGGGCAGGUGGCAAGGUAUCCACCCAAAGAGGAGACAGAAGUAGUCAACCACAGAAGCCAAAACAACAGCUAAUGUUCUCUGGUCUAUUCCACUUGCUGAUGCAGUAUUGUUUCCUCACAGUGUGUGAUCUAGUGCUCUGAUGCAUUAACUUUGAAGUAAUGGAGCAACUUUUUCAGAGAACAUUCUAGUUAAUUGACAUUUCUUGAGUUUGCAGUGUGCUGCCCUCUGCGUUUGUUUGUAAGCUGUGUGUGUUGGGGAUUGGACUUCAUGUCUCUUUGCAAAAUUUACUUGCAAGAAUUGCUUACCUAGUAAAGUCUUCAUGAUCAAUAAACUUGCGGUUCAAUCUCUUUUCAAA